UGGAAAUGAUGAAAUAGAGAUAUUUGGGUGUUGAAUGUUGCUGUGAGUGGAAAAUUUUAAUACAUGUAGUAAUUCUCCUAGUUUAAUGUUUCAUUGAUAGUUACUAGUGUAAGUGUGUGCAUGUAUGUCUGUGUGUGUGUGUGUGUGUGUGUGUGUGUGUGUGUGUGUGUGUGUGUGUGUGGUGGCUAUGAAAGGGGGCACUGAAUGGUGAUGCUGAUAUUGGAGUGCAUCUGAGGCUGUUGUAGAAAUAACAUGGGUUGUUGAUAACAACGUUGCCGAUGAUUAAAACCCAAAAACAGCUCACCUAAGUAGCCCAGCACCCUAAACUCUCUAACAGGAUUAUUAAACAUCCUGUGAUCUGAUCCAA
ensembl:scaRNA Gm22009 predicted gene, 22009